rnacentral:rRNA from 1 species
GACGAACGCUGGCGGCGCGCUUAACACAUGCAAGUCGAACGGAAAGGCCUGCUUUCCCUUGUGGAUUGCGGGUACUCGAGUGGCGAACGGGUGAGUAACACGUGAGUGAUCUGCCCCCAACUUGGGUAUAAGCCUGGGAAACUGGGUCUAAUUCCCGAUAGGACUGCAGGGUGGUGCCUGUGGUGGAAAACGAUUUUCUAGUGGUUGGGGAUGAGCUCGCGGCCUAUCAGCUUGUUGGUGGGGUAAUGGCCUACCAAGGCGGCGACGGGUAGCCGGCCUGAGAGGGUGGACGGCCACAUUGGGACUGAGAUACGGCCCAGACUCCUACGGGAGGCAGCAGUGGGGAAUAUUGCACAAUGGGCGGAAGCCUGAUGUAGCGACGCCGCGUGGGGGAUGACGGCCUUCGGGUUGUAAACUCCUUUCGACCGCGAGGAAGCCACCUGGUUGGAAGGGUGGUGACGGUAGUGGUAGAAGAAGCACCGGCUAACUACGUG